rnacentral:sRNA from 1 species
GCAAAAUUCAAAUAACACUAGAGGAAAUGCCAAUAAAACACAGAAAGAUACUGGAGUAAAUGAAAAGGCAAGAGAGAAAUUUUAUGAGGCUAAACUACAGCAGCAACAGAGAGAGCUAAAACAAUUGCAGGAAGAAAGAAAGAAACUGAUUGACAUUCAGGAGAAAAUUCAAGCAUUGCAAACGGCAUGCCCUGACUUACAGCUGUCAGCUGCUAGUGUGGGUAACUGUCCAACCAAAAAAUAUAUGCCAGCUGUUACUUCAACCCCAACUGUUAAUCAACACGAGACCAGUACAAGCAAAUCUGUUUUUGAGCCUGAAGAUUCUUCAAUAGUAGAUAAUGAGAACGAUGGCAACUUGGGGAGGGUCUACCCAGUGUGCACUAGAUGAAGAAGGAGAUGAAGACGGUUACCUUUCUGAAGGAAUUGUUCGGACAGAUGAAGAGGAGGAAGAAGAGCAAGAUGCCAGUUCCAAUGAUGACUUUUCUGUGUAUCCUUCUAACAGUGUGAAUCAUAACUCCUACAAUGGAAAGGAAACUAAAAAUAGGU